rnacentral:misc_RNA from 1 species
GGUGCAAACAGCAAGGGCAAUUCCAGGCACUCAAUAAUGUUGGAUGGCGCAGCAAUUCCACAGACAAGGAACAUGCAGCAAUGUGAUGUCCCAAAAAACACAAGCUACACGAUAUGUAUAAGGAGUUCUCUGUGAUUGUCAUAUAACCGGUCCAAAUAGAAGCCCAUUCCGCAUUAGGAACAAGUACCUGCUUAAUCCUCAGUGUGCUUUUCUUCUUUGGGGCUGUUUAUCAGUAGCUAGCCUGUAAAUCCAGUAAACCAAAGCGAGGACGUGAGCUGCUAUUAGAAGAACCACCAAAAGAGGUACCAAAUC